AAAAUAACAAUACAAGUGAAUCAGAUAAUGGAUGAUGUUUCAAUGUAAU
rnacentral:guide_RNA from 1 species